GGUAACAAAUUGGACAAUUUCUGGUGCGGUGAAACAAGUAAUAACUCGAAGGUUUGUGAAACUCAACUACUUCACCAGGCAAACUUUCACUCAAAAAUGAUUUUGAUAGCGUUGCUUAAUUAACUACAAGUCGAUAUACCUCUCCUUUCCAAGAAACCUCUCGGGGCACGCCACAAUCCAUAGAUUGAAAUUGUGGAAUGUAGAAAAAAACCAUGUAGAGAAGAUGUUGAAAAGUCAAGUCAAUGAUUCUUCGGCCGCAUUUAUUAGAAUAAUAUGUUACUUGCCUUGGUUUAAUUCUCUGGCUAGCCACAUAUAAAAAUGUCAAUGGUCUUUGUUUAUAUUCUAGCAGCUAACUAUUUGCAGCAUUGCUGCUGCUCACAAAAGCCAGCAAAAUCAACAACUUUAAGCAUGUCUAUUAAGAAAACUCUUUCACUAACCAGCAGAGCAGUCAAGGACGAUCAGGUCUCGGCAAAACGCAGGCGGUCUGAUCGAUGCUUUUCAUUCAAGGAGAUAUCGAUAGAACCAGGAAAAUCACUAAAAGACCUGGAUUCAAACAAGUUCAAGAUUGAUAUCAAGAGAUGGGCCAGGGCUGUUGUGGCAUAUGCACGCCAAGUAAGUAGCAGGUUUGGAAGCGCUAGAAAAAGUGGCCGGAUUGGAAGCUCUAGUGAUUCAUCACAGGACUCCAUAUAGUUGAAGAUUUGAAGAACUGGGCCCAGGAAUGUUCACACGUUCAUGACUCCCCCAUCUCGAGGAAGGAAAACAGAAAAAGUUGAUGUCAAGCUACGAGAAUGUGUUCAAGAAAGGCAGGAUCAACCUCGAGGGAGAUCAGAGUUUGGUCCAUCAGCUCGAAACGGAGGCGCAACUUGUGUGCAAAGUCAAUAUCUUGGAGAUGGGGUUCAUGUAUACAAAGACACUAAUCGUUCUGAUUGUUUUUUCAUUCCAUUUAUAAUUAAUACGAUCUGUUGAUGAUAUGAAGCAAGUGGAUUUUGUUUUUUAUUUCUUCCUUCUUUCUUCCAUUAAUAAGACGACAUUGGAAGAUGUUGGGCA